rnacentral:rRNA from 1 species
UACGGAGGGGGCAAGCGUUGUUCGGAGUUACUGGGCGUAAAGCGCGCGUAGGCGGUGCGGUAAGUCAGGGGUUAAAGGCUGCAGCUCAACUGCAGUAAGGCCUUUGAUACUAUCGUGCUAGAGUGUCAGAGAGGAUGGCGGAAUUCCCGGUGUAGCGGUGAAAUGCGUAGAUAUCGGGAGGAAGGUCGGUGGCGAAGGCGGCCUCCUGGGCCUGCACUGACGCUGAGGCGCGAAAGCGUGGGGAGCAAACAGG